AUACUUACUUGGUGCGGGGCCUCGUUGAUUACUGAGGACGAGCUCCCAGGGCGAGGCGAGGGCAUUGCACUGCGUUUGCGUUGACCCCUGCCGUUACCCCAAACUGGGCAGAUGGGGCGUGCAGAUUGC
rnacentral:snRNA from 1 species